AGGACGAACGCUGGCGGCACGCUUAAAACAUGCAAGUCGAACGUGAAGCCCGAGCUUGCUCGGGUGGAAAGUGGCGAACGGGUGCGUAACACGUGAGCAACCUGCCCCGAAGACUGGGAUAACACCGGGAAACCGGUGCUAAUACCGGAUGCCUUCACCACGUCGCAUGGCGAGGUGAAGAAAUGGAUUCCGCUUCGGGAUGGGCUCGCGGCCUAUCAGCUUGUUGGUGGGGUAACGGCCUACCAAGGCAACGACGGGUAGCUGGUCUGAGAGGAUGUCCAGCCACACUGGGACUGAGACACGGCCCAGACUCCUACGGGAGGCAGCAGUUAGGAAUCUUGCGCAAUGGGCGAAAGCCUGACGCAGCGAUGCCGCGUGCGGGAUGAAGGCCUUCGGGUCGUAAACCGCUUUCAGCAGGGACGAUUAUGACGGUACCUGCAGAAGAAGCCCGGCAACUACGUGCCAGCAGCCGC
rnacentral:rRNA from 1 species